AUGAACGCUGGCGGCGUGCCUAAUCCAUGCCAGUCGAGCGAACGGACGAGAAGCUUGCUUCUCUGAUGUUAGCGGCGGACGGGUGAGUAACACGUGGAUAACCUACCUAUAAGACCGGGAUAACUUCGGGAAACCGGAGCUAAUACCGGAUGAUAUUUUGAACCGCAUGGUUCAAAAGUGAAAGACGGUCUUGCUGUCACUUAUAGAUUGCUCCGCGCUGCAUUAGCUAGUUGGUAAGGUUACGGCUUACCAAGGCAACGAUGCAUAGCCGACCUGAGAGGGUGAUCGGCCACACGGGAACUGAGACACGGUCCAGACUCCUACGGGAGUCAGCAGUAGGGAAUCUUCCGCAAUGGGCGAAAGCCUGACGGAGCAACGCCGCGUGAGUGAUGAAGGUCUUCGGAUCGUAAAACUCUGUUAUUAGGGAAGAACAUAUGUGUAAGUAACUGUGCACAUCUUGACGGUACCUAAUCAGAAAGCCACGGCUAACUACGUG
rnacentral:rRNA from 1 species